GAACAUGAGUUACAUACAGGAAGAAUGGGUACCCACAAGCAGCCACACCAUCAAAACGUCUCAUGUCAGCAUGGAUGAUGACUUCCCCAUAGCCACUUAACAGGUCUGAAAUUGAGGCUGGCUUGAGGGCCACCACAGCUGCUCUUGACUGAGAUGACAAUAGCUGUCACACUCUGAGAAGACCGUUCCUCGGCAACUGCGUACUGUGGAAGGACACUUGAUUGUAGACAGUUGUUAUCUCUGGUCACAAUAGUAUGAGUUUCUCAAAAACUUUGAUGCCUGUGUCAAAAUUGUUUUUCAUUAAGUCUGUCCCAAUAGCUGGGUGGUGGUGGUGCACGCAUUUAAUUCCAGCACUCAGGAGGCAGAGGCAGGUGAAUCUCUGUGAGUUCAAGACCAGCCUGGUCUACAAGAGCUAGUUCCAGGACAGCCUCCAAAGCCACAGAGAAACCCAGACUUGGAAAAAAAAAAAAGUCUGUACCACUUUAUGUUAGUUCUAGCAUAUCUCAGUCCUACCUAGAAAAGCUUAUCUAAAAUGGAAUACAGUACUAUAACCUGAAAUAUUUUUAUUUUGCUAAUUUUGGGGGACAUUUCAUUGCUUAAUAUAUUCCUUAUUUUCUAAAAGAGUGAGAAAUAUGUGUAUGCUUAAUUGGCAUAGUUUCUUCUGUUAAUUAUCUCUUGGUAUUAGCUCUUUUUGUGGGGACACUGAGUAGACAGGAUCUUAAUAUACAACCCAGGCUAGCCCUGAACUUGCAAUCCUCCCACCCCAGUCUUUCGAGUACUGAGGUUACAGGUGUUUUG
rnacentral:lncRNA from 1 species